rnacentral:lncRNA from 1 species
ACUUGAGUUCUAUGUCAGUCUUAAAGGGGAAGAAGGAGAAAGUAGCACUUUACCAAACUGCCUCCGUUGUCCUCAGGGAACUUGUAGACCUGGAUCUUGGCUUCAUUAUAAUGCUCAUUUUGAAGAGGGGAGACACAAAAUGAAAAAGGGAAAGGGAAAUGUUCAAGUCUUCUGAUCAAUAUUCAUCAGCGGGCUCUCCACAAAGAAGGUUUGGAGGUUUCGCCACGGGCUGGGAAGGCUGCCUCCUGCCUCAGCUCUCAGUGUCGCCGGCAGCAGGCGGGCUUUCCUCUUUCAUGCCCAAGCCCGGGCUCUUCCGAAGGGAGUUCCUUCUCUGCCUGCCUUGCCCACAGAGGAACUGAAUUUUGAAUCUCUUCUUCAUCUGGGUCACAAGGGAAGCCAGCCCAGCGAACCGGUCACUCAAUCUCUUUUCUGCAAUUCCAUAACAACGGACUUAGAGGUUUGUUCCCCUGGGCACUCACUCAGGUAGAGCAAAAGGAAAGUGCCUGGCAGCCUGGUGACACGCAGAGGGCGAGCUGUCAAGGAAGUUUCAUUUCAGGGCGAUCAACCGCAGGGACAAAGCUCUCUGCAGCGCAAAGGAGUCCGCUGGAGGAGCACAGCUCCGUGGGCUGGGUGGCCCGAGGUACCUGCCAAGCCAAUAUCCGCUGUGUCCCCUGAGAACGCGGCUGCGAGUCUUUGUGAAUGAGAAUUACCAUCCAGUCUCACCAGGCAGAAACUAUUCCUCAAGGGCUGAAUGACGUCUGUGAGAAGGCAGUUCAAAACAUCGCAGGGAAGUGAGAAAGGGAGGAAAAAAAAAAAAAAAAAAAAAAAAGCGCCCAACCCGGCCUGGUCAAUUGCUGACUUACAAAGCAAAGGGGCGGAACUCUGAAUGCAGAAUGCAGGACAGCAAAGCAGCCACGCAGACAGCAGAGCUCUGGAGAUUUUCAAGGCCAUGCCCUCCUCUGGAAAAGCAGCUGUCUGUGUUAUUCAGAAAGGACCCCCUCCCUGAGCACCUUUUUAAGGCACACACCCCUAGCCAUUGAACUUUUCUUCUCUAUCAAAAGUCAAAGAAACUACCUCAAAAUCACUUUUCUCCUGCUACCACGUGGCAACGUGAACAGAGAAGCUAAGGGGACUUGAAGACUCAGCAGAAAGUCAUUUCCAUUAUAC